GCUGCCCAAAUAAUGCAUGAUAUAUGCAUUGCUGUUAAAUACUUACAUGAUCGCGAUAUCGCUCAUAGAGACUUAAAGCCUGAAAACUUAUUGUAUUCCAAACCAGGACCGUUAGGAGUACUGAAAUUAACUGAUUUUGGUUUUGCCAAGGAAACGUCAUCUUUAGUUACUCUCCAAACCCCGUGCUACACACCUUAUUAUGUUGCUCCAGAAGUGUUGGGGUCCCAGAAGUAUGAUAAAAGCUGUGAUAUUUGGGCGCUAGGUGUUAUUAUGUACAUAUUGUUAUGCGGUUACCCUCCGUUCUACAGCGACCACGGGCUGUCCAUGUCACCUGGUAUGAAAAGUAGAAUCCGAGCUGGUCAAUUCACAUUUCCUGAUGCCGAAUGGAAACAGAUUAGUCCUGACGCGAAGCAUCUUAUAACCGGAAUGCUCACUGUUGAUCCAACCAAAAGAUUUACUAUUGAUCAGGUUAUGAAUAACCGUUGGAUCGCGGUAAGACUUUCGAAAGAAUAAAGCAUAGUCAUUGACUAUGCUUUACGACUAUUAGUCAUAGUUUAAUUUUUCGUCGUAUUAAGCAAUACGCUGCCGUCCCACAAACUCCUCUUCACACCAAUCGAGUUUUGAAAGAAACUGUUGAACUUUGGCCCGAAGUACAGGAGGAGAUGACCCGCUCGCUGGCAACCAUGCGUGUGGACUAUGACCA
rnacentral:misc_RNA from 1 species